CCAGCCAUCUGCUGCUCGGUCCAAGUCCAUCCAUUAGCCAGCUGACUUACAGAUAAGUCUGCACAACAUUCUGCCCUACGUGUCUGCUGUACCUGAAAACCUGGGAAAAUUUCCACAACAGUUUGGCGUCGCGAAUGGGAUCUGGCGAGUUGGAGAGGGCGACGAGAGAUCGAAUGCAUUGGCCAACCUGAGGAGUUUGUCUUCAGUUCACCUAAAAUUGGACGAGGGGAGUCCGAGGUCUCGUCCUUGCGACUGCCGACUGGCUGGAUCCAUAAGAACCUUAAUAGCUUUAUCAGGUGAGGACUGUUUCAAUUUGGUUGUUUUUUUUGUUUUUGUUUUUUCUUUUCAUAUCUGCUGGGACAGGCUGGGACUGCUGGUGAACUAAAAUUAACUAUCUAAAAGGUAGAUAGUGGGUAUUUUUAAAUCUUUUUUUUCACUUUUAAGUAAAGAAAGUAACUAUCUAAAAGGUAGAUAGUGGGUAUUUUUAAUCUUUUUUCACCUCCAAGAGAGAAAGUAAAGAAAGUAUCGGAAGGUAGUGGCGUUUUUAUUCUUUUUUCUCGCCUAAAGAAACAAAGUAACUAUCCAAGGGAAGAUAGUGGGUGGUUUUUAGCAUUGCUACACCUUCAAGGAAAGAAAAGCCUUGAAGCUGUUUUUCAAGAGUGAGAGACAUCUCACUGUAAAAAAAAAAAAAAGGGUUCUGGAACCUCACAGAAAAGUUCGGAGCGGUUUGAUCCUGGGCCUAGCUGUUAUAUUUCUGACCUAACGACAAAAAAAUAAAUCAAAUGAAAUUAAUGUGUUCAAAAUGAAACAAAAUAAUGACUUUCCUUAAGGGGGAAGCUUAGGUUUAAAUCAAUUGAAACAGAUGCAAACACAACUUGAUGAAAAAUGGAGAGAAACAAAAAAAAGCAGAGAAAAUAAAAAUUAAAGCACUAGAGGAUAAAGAAAAACAUGGCAAAUGUAUGGCUGUGUGGAUGAAAGAAGCUCUUUCAGACAGCGAAAGGCAACUUUUAGGAGUUUGGCAGGGGGAAAAGAUUUGAGCAGGGCAGUAGUGUUCCACACUGACAAUGUGGGUGCCCUUUUCUCUCUUUAAGACAAAAGGAUACUUCACCCCCUUUUUCUACUUCCCAGGUGAAGAUCCAGGCUCUCCAGGCAGAUCUGGAUUUGGACUCCCAUCCCCCGGUCCGGAGAGCCACUCCAGCAGGCCCACAAGACCCUGGAAAGACAACACUGCCUCCUCCCCUGGAGAGAAGCAGCAAAGCUUCAUCAUAAGCCCGAUUCAAGACCGCCCUGCAGUCUACGUCCACUCCCAGCAGAGAGCAGAAACAUGGAUGCCCCUUGUAGGCCCUCUCUCUGCCCACACCAGAUCCAAAACACAUGAAGGGGGCGUGGCGGCUGAGGGUGCACGACGACUCCAUCCACUUACAUUUGCCCUAUGAUGGAAGUGGCAGGCACCAGAGCAGGAGCAAUGUUAAUUCAACGCCCCUGGACUGGUGCUGACAUCACAUCAGCAGCCUCCCUCCUUCCUGAACCGAGGGAAGAUGGUGUCAAGUUUGCCAUAGAACUGAAGGCCCUGUGCAAUGAAAUGCGUCCCACUGUGCUGAAAUAUGACGCAUGGCUGCAAAAAUCAAACCCAGUGAUCUUUCCUGCCUGACUGAAUAUCUCCCUGCCUCUGAUGUCCGUCUCAGAAAUGUGGAAUGCAGAAAUGAGAGUUCCAGCGUUGACCCCAACGCCCCUUAUAAUCUGUCCAUAGAGGUGCUACAAAAACAGUUUCCACAGUUCACUAAUAACACCAUCCUGCAGACAAUAAAGCAACGCCCUGAUGAAGCAGCUGAAGAUUUCCUUCACUGCAUGGAAGAAGCAUUUAACAAAUACUCUGGGUUUGGCCCAGCCUCCUCAUUCUCUACCAAACCCUGCGGCUGGACUCCUGCCUGAGGUUGCAGCUCAAACCAAAGCUUCAUAUGUGGGUUGGCGGUUUGGCGUGAGGCUGGCUGAUCUAAAACAAAACAGUUUUGCCUCACCCUUUGUUAAAGGAAAAUUUCCACAACAACGUCUUGCACAUUUCACUCAUAUUCAUCAGUUGAAUAUGAGUCGGUGAUUAAACCCAAUUGCUUGUGUACAUUUUCCUUCCACUCAGCUUUCCAUCAAAAAUCGUCUGAAAAGCUAUCCUCAGAAAAGCUAACAGAGAAGACCGGUAGCUUCUAAUGGAUGUAAACAUGAAAAUAUGAAAUAGUGUGAACGUUCAAAUGGAUUUAAUUCACAGUGGUUCUCAAAAAUAUAUGCAACAGCGGUUAUAGGUCAAGUUUGGAAGAAAAAUUUGAAAACCUUUUCUGCUUAUGUGACUUGCAUCUUAACUCGAGACAGUAAGGGCGUGUUUUUGUUUAUGAUACAAAAACUGAAGAUACAAUGAGACAAAGUUUUGAAUGAUAUUACACUUGCGCUAAAUUUCAGAAAAAAUAAACCAGUUUGUUGCAGGUGGAUUUCAUGUGAGCACACGAGAAAAGUGAUAGUCAUUGUCACGCCUUUUGAAACUGAUAUAAUUGUGGUAGGUAGGGUUUCCUGACCUCAAUAAAUAUGCGGCUGUUAGUGCAUGAUGGAGCACCGUUUGAAAGAAGCACCCCACACUCUGCAUGGCAGCCUCUUGGCAGUCGUUCCCAUAGCAACUCCAGUAGGUCAACCAAUGGGAAGAGGGGGCUGGGCAGGAAGGAGGAUAGGAAGAUGGGGACGGGAACGGUGGGCGGAAGAAAAAGGGGGUGACGGAAUGGGGGUGGGGUUCUUAACACAGAAUGCAAUAGGAGUCGAGCCGGUGCAGAAAAGCACUCAUACAAAAACCCACUGACUCCAAAUCACGUGGUGACACACACAUUCAAAUGUGCUAACAAUAAAUCCACCUGCUUUUGUCUGUGUAAACACGUAAAACAAUCACUCUUGAGACUCAGAGUGAAAAAAACAAAAAACAAAGCCAACAAAAAAAAUAAAUAAAUAAACAUAAAAUAAACUAGACUGAUAAAAAAGAAGGAUCAAUACAGUUUUCGUUUUCUUAACUCCAAUUUGACUUCUAGCGUUCAUAUCAGAUUUUAUCGAUUUCACUGUCUGUCACCACUUUGUUUCUCUUUCUGUGAGUAUUUCUUUUUCUUACUUAACAUCUCAGUCCUAGGCAUUCCUCUUAACACAUUAUUGUAUCAGUCUUCCCUCUUAUGGAUAACUUGACAGCAAAUAUGUUUUUGAUUCAGUGAUCAAACACAACUGAUACUCUAGACAUAAACAGGGAAAAUAGAUUUCUUUUGCAGGACAUAUGAAUCUGGAUUAUGUUAUUACCUCACUGAUGGGAUUUUUUUAGCUUUUGAACAAUAAUUUUAGUGUCUUUUGAAAGAGUCAUUAAAAAGUCACAUGGCUCUGAGUGAGGAAUAUAGCAAGCAUGUGUUUCCUUAUUGUAAGAAACUCAACUGUUGCUCAAAGAAUAAAGCAGAAAGUCUCAAAUCGUAUUAAAUUCCAGUUUGUGAGCAGGAAAACAAAAUUAGAUUAUGAAUCACAAGAUGAGUGCCGAGA